AGAAAAAUAAAAAAGAAAAACAAAGGAAAGAAAGAAAAUUUUUUUUGGGAAAAUUUUUAGAAACAGGCUGGUUUUUCAGCCCCCUUUAGAUGGGAUUUUCUCCGUCGAUUAGGCUUCAUUUUGGGGAGAUUUUGAUUUCUGCACAAACUAGGAUAUUAAUAGAGCAAGUUUCAUUUAGAAAAGUUUCGAAAAAAAACCUCAAAAAAUCCAUAGAAUUAAGCCCUCAAAGUUGCUACUUUACUUCACCGGCGUUUUCUACAAAUUCCAUUCGAAGCUUCAUCAAAUCCGCUUCCAUUCCCGUUUCCUGGCUUCAAUCCUGUCCAAAAUCAUCUUCAGGUACUUCCACGAAUUUUCCUUGUUUGAUUCGAUGUUUAAGCAAAAGAUUUGAGGCUGUUCAUGCAAGUUUCUGUUCAAGAAAGCUAGAUCUUUAUCUUACAUGAUUUUUUAACUUUUUGGACCUUGUUUGAUGUUUGAUUGAAUCCAGAACAUUUCCACUUUCCAGCGGGUCAACCCACCGAAAGUUUCUUGCUAUUUUCUCUUCUGUUUUUGCUCCAAUUAUUUUGGUUUUGUUUUAUUAUGUUUGAUUUAUUAGGGAAUAAAUUGGGUGUGUGUUUUUGGAUCUAGAAACCCACUUGGGAUUUUCGGUGACAUGUUUCUAUGCCAACCCAAUGCCACCAAUAAUAUUGCGUCAAGUGUCUUGUUAUUAUUUACACUUGUGUUAAACCAAACCAAGUUGAAUUAUUAGAAAAUUAAAGUGUAAAUAAUAACAAAACACUUGGCGCAAUACUAUUGGUGACAUUGGGUUGGCAUAGAAAACAUGUUACCGAGAAUCCCAAGUGCUAGAAACCACGCCAACAAUUUAUUUUUGUUUGGGUUUGUAUAUGGGCUUAGAUCCUUAAACCAACUUUUUUUUUUAUUUGGUUUGAUAAAAUUAGUGGGCUAGCCUUUUUGUUAAUAGAAAUAAUCUCUUUUUGUUGUUUUUGGCCCAAUGGGUUAAGGCCCCAAAAGAAAAUAGAACUGGCCCAAGACUUGUUUUCUGAUAAAAUCAGAAACGAAAUUUUGCAAUUUGGUCCUUAAUCUUUUAAGUAGUUCCAUUGUGACCCUAAAAUUUUGAAUUUCUUUCAAUUAGAUUCUUAAUUUAAUUACAUUUCGAUCCACAAACUUUAUCUUUAUUCAAUUUUGACAUCUAAUUUUUUAAAAAUUAUAAUUUAAUACCAAAAACUUCUCAAUUUUUUUGCAAUUAGGUCCCUAAUUUUUUAUCUCUUAAUUACAAUCGUUUAUCUCCUUUAAUUGUUAAUCAUGCUUUAUUUAAUUAGUGAAUUUUAGAAAUUUUAUGUUUAGUUAUAUUUCUUUAAAAUAAUAAAAUGAAUUUGCUAUAUAUUUAUAUUUUCUUUUAAAUUAUUAAUUAAAUUGGUGUCUUAACUAUUUUGUUAGUUUUGAAGUGUAAAUAAGAUAAACUCUACUGCAUUUAGCCAUUACUUCAAGGGAGGUACCCUCUAUUAUUUUUUGUUAAUAUCUUUUUUAUGUGCUUCUAUUGCAUGUUUUAAAUACUUUUUCUUUUAUUUACUCAUUUUAUUCAUUUUAAGCUUUCAAUUAUUUAAGUUUGAUAUUUAUUUGGGAGGCAUUUAAAUGUGAAGUUGUAAUAGAUAGGUCUUCCCUUUUUGCCCAAGAAAAUGUAUUUAAAUAGACAAAUGUAAUAGAUAGGUUUAUUAUUCUCAAAAAUUCCCCUUCUAGAUUGUAGUUAGGGUCCCCAAUAUAAUAGUUAGUUUUUAUUUGCUUGCAUGCUUGUGUGUUUAUGUGUUUAUUCGCUUUCUCUAGGGUUUUGCAUCUAGAUAUAAUGCCUAUGUACUAUGUGCUCUACAUGCUUUAUGUGUCUAUUCGCUUUAAUUAUGUUUUACAUACUUUAUUUAUUUAUAAUAAAUGCAUGAUGUCACUACACUAGUCCAAUACUAGUUGUGACUUUUCUCCUCAAUUUCUUACUAGUCCAAUGUUAGUGAAAACUUGUAGAAAUGGACUAAUCCAAUACUAGACUCUUUAGACCAUCGAUAUGCUAGAUUCAUGAUUUUGUGUGACAUUUAUCGCUUCUCACAUAUAUUUUUUUUAUUUUUAGGAUUUUUUUCAUCAUUUGCAUGAUAUUUUUCCUACUAUUAUUCUCUUACCCUCUAUGUGUUUAAACCAUAUCAUUUAAAAUUGCAUCUCAUUUUAGGAAAUUAGAAGUAAACUAGUUCAUUUGCUUGUUUAGAAUAGAAGAGUCACCCUUCGAAUAUGGGAAAUGAACGAGCAUGACUUUUUAAUCUUAGCACGCUAUCACCCCUUUAUAAGAAAGAAAAUUAAGUCACGAAUUUUAGUCUCUCAUACUUGUUAUAUUGCAUUCCCUCUUCUAGUCAUAUAUAUUUAUCUAUAUAUUAUAUUUUUUUUUGAGUCUCAUCUUUUGCAAAUUCAUGACCUCUUCAAGAGAUCAUUUUUGAGAUUCACAAUGAAUGUAAUUUGUACCAAUUAAACUUUAAAGAGCUAUUUCGUCUCUCUCGAUAUCCUCUAAGUUUAAGUUUGCAUCCAUAUAGAAGAAUCUAAAAUGUGAUAAGUUUUAUAGAUUAGAUUAGGAAAAUUUUUGACAAAAUUUUACAACUCACUUUGGUUAAGUUGAAAGUGUGCCUUAGAUCAAAAUCUUUGCUUUCCCUUUUUUCAACCGUGACUCGCAAACUCUUUUCUUUUAUUUUCGGAAACCUGGAGUCGUCUAAAAAGGUUUUAUUUACUUCUUUUCAUUUUCAAAAAUUUUGGAUGACUUAGUAUACCUAAACUCGAUACCAAAUGGUGACUCUAUUUUUUUCUAAAAACCCAUUUUAGACUACUAUUUUGGAUCCAAAACGUCUCCAUUUAUAUGUCCCAUUUUUAUGCCCUUUUUCAUUAUUUUCAAAAAUAAAAUCAAAAAUUCAUUUUUAACUUUCAUUCAUUUUUAUUUCAAAAAUAGGGUGCGACAUUAGGGGUGCCCAGUGAUAUUAAGAGAAAUCUCAAGAGAGGCUUCUGAUAUUAUCCAAAGUUUUGCUUCUGGCUAGAACUAUUUCAACUUGCUUGUGUGUGUGUGUGUUUUAAAUAUAUAGUUCAGUUGAGCGUAUUAAUGUGUAGCACAUGUAUGAUUAGAUCCGUAUUCCCUCACAGUCCCCCCCCCCUCCCACAACAACCCUCCUCUUCCCCUUCCCCUUUAUACUCCUCCAGAAUAAUAAUCAAGAACCAAUUCAAUGUUAAGUAUCCAUUUAUUGUUUGAUUUUGCUUUUCUUUGAUAGCAAUAGCAUCAGUUAACAAUUUUUUUUUGUUUUCGAUAAAAUGUUUUUCUCUUUUUUUUUUUGUUACUUAGCUUAUAUCUUUACGUGAAAAACAAAUUUACUUUGGUUUUCAUUUUCUUGAAAAGAAAGAACAGUGGAUUCCUUUUCUUUUGAAGUUGUAUAAAAUUUCCUUACUUUCAUGAUUUUCAAUUUAUGCCUUUUGGUUCCAUUUGCAAUUAGUUACCCAAAAAUCCUUUAAGGAAAAUUAUAAGACUUUAAUACUUCAAAAUUUUUGUCUUAUUCUUUAGAUUCUAAUGAAGUAUUUUUUUUUUCAAUAUUUUGAAUACUCCGGUUUACUUUCUUCUCCUUCUUUUUUUUUUUUUUUGGUCAAACACCGGUUAACUUUCUUUGCUUCUGAUUCAAGGCGUGUCGACAAGGACGUGAUAACGUACAGCCCAAACUCCUAAGGCUUUUGAAAACUUCUAGAAGGUCCUGGAAAAGCUUUUACUCGUUUGCUGGGGAGCAGCAAGAAAUAUUAGGCUGCUGCUGACCUUUAUUCGUCGUGCAUGAUGCAUGGUCGCUAAUUAAGUGGAUGUGAACUAUAACCGUUUAAUUCGGGGAAAUUUCU
rnacentral:lncRNA from 1 species